UGCUCAUUCAAGCACAUCUGUUGUACAUUUUCUGGCAGUUACUGAGAUUUAUAUCCUGGAAGAUACUGCCCCAGGCACAGUCAUUUACCAAGCGGCAGCCAACGACCCAGAGGAUGCUGUUUUGGAGUUUUUCACUGGUUAUUAAAGUGGUUGAUCCUGGAGGACUGUUUACAACUGGAAAUCUAAAGAUUUUUCUCAUCAAUGUAAACAAUAAGGACCCCAUUCUUAGCUGCAGACAAGUUUAUUAAAUAUUGAAAAUGCUGUCUCGAGUGUGACUUCUAUAAACUCAACUCGGCACAAUAAAUUUGACAUCACAUUGGAUGAAGAAAUUCCUAUUGGGAAGAGGAUUGGAGUAUGCCAGGCAACAGAUGAUGAUAACCUGGGGGAUUUAACCUUUGAACUUGAUCCAAGGAAUGAUUACUUUGCAGUUGACAAAGGUAGGUUGAGAAAUGC
rnacentral:lncRNA from 1 species